rnacentral:lncRNA from 10 species
CUAGCUCAGGGUUUGUGAGUGCACCAAUCGACACUGUAUCUAGCUGCUCUGGUGGGGCCUUGGAGAACCUUUAUGUCUAGCUCAGGGAUUGUAAAGGCACCAAUCAGCACCCUGUCAAAACAGGCCACUGGGCUCUACCAAUCAGCAGGAUGUGGGUGGGGCCAAAUAAAAAAAUAAAAGCAGGCUGCCCGAGACAGCAUUGGCAACCCGCUCCGGUCCCCUUCCACACUGUGGAGGGUUUGUCCUUUUGCUCUUUGCAAUAAAUCUUGCUACUGCUCACUCUUUGGGUCCACGCUGCUUUUAUGAGCUGUAACACUCACUGGAAGAUCUGCAGCUUCACUUCUGAGCCCAGCAAGACCAGGAGCCCACCAGGAGGAACGAACAACUCCAGACGCUCUGCCUUAAGAGCUGUUAACCCUCACUGCCAAGGUCUGCAGCUUCACUCCUGAGUCAGCGAGACCACGAAACUACCAGAAGGAAGAAACUCCGAACACAUCUAAACAUCAGAAGGAACAAACUCCAGACGCGCCACCUUAAGAGCUAUAACACUCACCGCGAGGGUCCGCGGCUUCAUUCUUAAGAAGAAAAUGGUCUGGUCUUAGUUCCGGUCCGGCAGAGAUCGCGGAGAGACGCAGAACGCA